rnacentral:rRNA from 1 species
AGUGAACGCUGGCGGUAGGCCUAACACAUGCAAGUCGAACGGCAGCACAGUAAGAGCUUGCUCUUACGGGUGGCGAGUGGCGGACGGGUGAGGAAUACAUCGGAAUCUACUUUUUCGUGGGGGAUAACGUAAGGAAACUUACGCUAAUACCGCAUACGACCUACGGGUGAAAGCAGGGGAUCUUCGGACCUUGCGCGAUUGAAUGCGCCGAUGUCGGAUUAGCUAGUUGGCGGGGUAAAGGCCCACCAAGGCGACGAUCCGUAGCUGGUCUGAGAGGAUGAUCAGCCACACUGGAACUGAGACACGGUCCAGACUCCUACGGGAGGCAGCAGUGGGGAAUAUUGGACAAUGGGCGCAAGCCUGAUCCAGCCAUACCGCGUGGGUGAAGAAGGCCUUCGGGUUGUAAAGCCCUUUUGUUGGGAAAGAAAAGCAGCAGGUUAAUACCCCGCUGUUCUGACGGUACCCAAAGAAUAAGCACCGGCUAACUUCGUG